rnacentral:lncRNA from 1 species
CCAGCCCCGGGCGCGGUAGCCCUAGCCCGCCUUAGCUGUAGGGGUUCUCUGGAUAGAGGCCUCAGUUUGGAGGUUAAAAGUACAGCUCAAAUGCCAGAGAUGGAGGUGAGCCUCCAAGGAAAUUGCACCUCUGAAGAGAAGUCAUAGUCUGAAGAGAAGCUUUAGCUUCCAGCUCCUUUCAGACAUCUUCUGAACGGCUGUUUGGAGGAAAAGCUGGUAGUGCUGGAUCAGUCAACAGACAAAUAGGACAAAGCUGACUUAGAGGUCCUCAGAGCAUUGGCACUGGCAAGAUCAGAGAGAUGGGGAAUUACUUGUGCUGAAGCAAUUCCAGACCCUCUUGAGCAAGGAAUCUAAAAUUUGUCUGAAAAUAAUGAAAACUCUGUGUCUCUGGAAGAUUUAACCCAAAUGAGGAGAUAAGUAUGACUUACAGAAAGCAUACACUAAUGGACUAGACUCAGAAGAAGGCAGUUGGUAAAGUGAAAGAUUCUCCCUCCCCUCACAAUGGUGCACAAAGGAGAGAGUCUGGCUACCAUGCUUCUGAUUGCAAGGCACCAGCCAUCUUGGAUUAUGAAGUCAAGUUCAUACAUGAUGGACCAACAAGAUAGAAGAGCCUGGGUCCCUGAUGCUUUGGAAUGCCACGGCAGCCCUCACCACCUACCUAGACUUUUUGUGUGGUCUCUGAAGACAUUUGCCACCGCUGGUCUAGACUAGAGGAACAUUUAGUGCCUACUCAACCAGAAGUCUAAAGAUAGACAGAUUCAAGGUUGAUUCACUGGUUCAAUAAUAUAAGGAAAUUAUUAUCCCUGCAUAUCUCUUCCUUAUUUCUUAUUGUUGCAAGAUGGCUGCCACAGCUCCAACCAUCAUUCUACAGUGUUUAAUGCAGGAAGAAAAGGCAAGAGAUAUGUGGCAGAUGGCCAUUUUCUCCUAAAGUGAUUUUUUUCCUUUUAUUAAGGAGCAAAAACUUCUAAGAAGUGCCCAUCAGUGCCCUUAACUUUUCAUUGGCCCAAACCAUGAGACACUGAGAAAUAUUACUGCAUAGAAUACACAAGUGAUGAUAGUUCUCCUUCCCUAAGAUCCAGUAGGUCAUAUUUCCAGUGUUUAAGGGGUGAGGAGAGGAAAAGGAACACACAGAGGAGAUAUAGGAAGAGUAGUCCUUCAGCUACAAGAAGAA